CUGCAGUUUCAAAACUUCAGCCUCAAACUCUGUGGUCAUAAAAGCCAGAGCAUUCUCCAAGCUUAUCACCUUCUUCUGAAGAGUUUGGAUUUGUGAUUUCUGCUGGCAGGCCUUACGAUAGAGCCCAGGCUGGCAUGGAACUUGACAGGAAACUCGAGAGCUGGCUUUGAACUCAAGAUCUUCCCGCCUCUGCCUCUUGAAGCGCUACAAGUAUGGGUGCAUACAACGCACGUACUCCCUGGUUCGUGACAACAUUCUCUAGCAAGGCGCGGAGAGGAGUGCCGCGAUACUUGGAACGCACAUGGACGUACUUCUGUUCUAGUGUGCAAGGCACUUCUUAGCACUCGUAGUCAUACCUUCUCUUCAAAAAAUCUGGUUUCUAGUCUUCUAAGUGUCUCCUGAUGUUUUUUCUCUGAGUGCAGUAAAUUUUCUUUAAGCUAAAAAAAAAAUAAUAAGAAAAGGAAAGACUGAAUGAGACAUCUUCAUAGAAAAUUUUGAAGACACGUUGUCUAUCAUAUAAUCUUGAACAAUACACAAAAAUCAGUGUCAUCACCUCUCGAGCACAUUUUUCUUAACUGUCUAUAGAUCAAUUAGAUUGGUACUGAGUUUCUAAGGGCUCUUCAUGACUUUCUCUUAAGAGUUAUGAAAUAUGGAAUGACAAAAACAAUAAAAUUAUUUUUAAAUUU